rnacentral:rRNA from 1 species
AGAAUGAACCGGCGAGUUACGAUCCCGUGCGAGGUUAAGCUGAAGAGGCGGAGCCGCAGCGAAAGCGAGUCUGAAUAGGGCGUUUAGUACGUGGUCGUAGACCCGAAACCAGGUGAUCUACCCAUGUCCAGGGUGAAGUUCAGGUAACACUGAAUGGAGGCCCGAACCCACGCACGUUGAAAAGUGCGGGGAUGAGGUGUGGGUAGCGGAGAAAUUCCAAUCGAACCUGGAGAUAGCUGGUUCUCCCCGAAAUAGCUUUAGGGCUAGCCUUAAGUGUAAGAGUCUUGGAGGUAGAGCACUGAUUGGACUAGGGGUCCUCAUCGGAUUACCGAAUUCAGUCAAACUCCGAAUGCCAAUGACUUAUCCUUAGGAGUCAGACUGCGAGUGAUAAGAUCCGUAGUCAAAAGGGAAACAGCCCAGACCGCCAGCUAAGGUCCCAAAGUGUGUAUUAAGUGGAAAAGGAUGUGGAGUUGCUUAGACAACUAGGAUGUUGGCUUAGAAGCAGCCACCAUUUAAAGAGUGCGUAAUAGCUCACUAGUCGAGUGACUCUGCGCCGAAAAUGUACCGGGGCUAAAUACACCACCGAAGCUGCGGAUUGAUACCAAUGGUAUCAGUGGUAGGGGAGCGUUCUAAGGACAGUGAAGUCAGACCGGAAGGACUGGUGGAGUGCUUAGAAGUGAGAAUGCCGGUAUGAGUAGCGAAAGACGGGUGAGAAUCCCGUCCACCGAAUGCCUAAGGUUUCCUGAGGAAGGCUCGUCCGCUCAGGGUUAGUCAGGACCUAAGCCGAGGCCGACAGGCGUAGGCGAUGGACAACAGGUUGAUAUUCCUGUACCACCUCUUUAUCGUUUGAGCAAUGGAGGGACGCAGAAGGAUAGAAGAAGCGUGCGAUUGGUUGUGCACGUCCAAGCAGUUAGGCUGAUAAGUAGGCAAAUCCGCUUAUCGUGAAGGCUGAGCUGUGAUGGGGAAGCUCCUUAUGGAGCGAAGUCUUUGAUUCCCCGCUGCCAAGAAAAGCUUCUAGCGAGAUAAAAGGUGCCUGUACCGCAAACCGACACAGGUAGGCGAGGAGAGAAUCCUAAGGUGUGCGAGAGAACUCUGGUUAAGGAACUCGGCAAAAUGACCCCGUAACUUCGGGAGAAGGGGUGCUUUCUUAACGGAAAGCCGCAGUGAAUAGGCCCAAGCGACUGUUUAGCAAAAACACAGCUCUCUGCGAAGCCGUAAGGCGAAGUAUAGGGGGUGACACCUGCCCGGUGCUGGAAGGUUAAGGAGAGGGGUUAGCGUAAGCGAAGCUCUGAACUGAAGCCCCAGUAAACGGCGGCCGUAACUAUAACGGUCCUAAGGUAGCGAAAUUCCUUGUCGGGUAAGUUCCGACCCGCACGAAAGGUGUAACGAUUUGGGCACUGUCUCAACCAGAGACUCGGUGAAAUUAUAGUACCUGUGAAGAUGCAGGUUACCCGCGACAGGACGGAAAGACCCCGUGGAGCUUUACUGUAGCCUGAUAUUGAAUUUUGGUACAGUUUGUACAGGAUAGGCGGGAGCCUUUGAAACCGGAGCGCUAGCUUCGGUGGAGGCGCUGGUGGGAUACCGCCCUGACUGUAUUGAAAUUCUAACCUACGGGUCUUAUCGACCCGGGAGACAGUGUCAGGUGGGCAGUUUGACUGGGGCGGUCGCCUCCUAAAGUGUAACGGAGGCGCCCAAAGGUUCCCUCAGAAUGGUUGGAAAUCAUUCGUAGAGUGCAAAGGCAUAAGGGAGCUUGACUGCGAGACCUACAAGUCGAGCAGGGACGAAAGUCGGGCUUAGUGAUCCGGUGGUUCCGCAUGGAAGGGCCAUCGCUCAACGGAUAAAAGCUACCCCGGGGAUAACAGGCUUAUCUCCCCCAAGAGUCCACAUCGACGGGGAGGUUUGGCACCUCGAUGUCGGCUCAUCGCAUCCUGGGGCUGUAGUCGGUCCCAAGGGUUGGGCUGUUCGCCCAUUAAAGCGGUACGCGAGCUGGGUUCAGAACGUCGUGAGACAGUUCGGUCCCUAUCCGUCGUGGGCGUAGGAAAUUUGAGAGGAGCUGUCCUUAGUACGAGAGGACCGGGAUGGACGCACCGCUGGUGUACCAGUUGUUCUGCCAAGGGCAUAGCUGGGUAGCUAUGUGCGGAAGGGAUAAGUGCUGAAAGCAUCUAAGCAUGAAGCCCCCCUCAAGAUGAGAUUUCCCAUAGCGUAAGCUAGUAAGAUCCCUGAAAGAUGAUCAGGUUGAUAGG